GACUUGGGACAUGGUCCAUUUUCUCAUGUGUUUGAUACAAGAGUGAAAACAAAAUUGAUUGAGUAUCAUGAAAGAGAAAAAAAGAUUUUGGAAAAUCAGUUAUGUGAAGAUGCUAAUAAGAAUGAGGAUUACCUCUACCACCAAAAACAAGCAGAAAAAUUGGAAAAUUGGAAGCAUGAAGUUGCAUCUUGUGCCAUGUUUGAUUACAUCUUGAAAACCACCGAUGGCCUAAAAGAUGCUUUUGAGAAGAGAAAUCUUGGCGAGAAAGAGCAAAAACUUAUCAAAGAUCUAAUUAAAGGUAAAAACCCGGAUGAAGAUGACAUCACGGAAAUCCCUACAGUUUAUGAAAAACCGAAAUGGUUUCUGUUCGAAAUUGUCGCCAAUAAAAUAUUCGAAGUUGAUUGUGAUAAGUUCGAUUAUUUUGCCCGUGAUUGUCACAACCUGGGAAUGAAGAGCAAUUUCGAUCAUCUUCGCUACAUCAACAAUAUUCAAAUAAAGUUGGUACCAAAAGACGACGGGCUACACUUGUGUCCACGCGAUAAGCUUGCUUAUAAUAUAUACGAGCUUUUCCACACUCGAUGGUCAUUACAUCAUCGCGCUUAUCAACACAAAACCACGAAAGCCAUAGAGGAAAUGAUUACAGAUGCUCUCAUUUUGUUGGAAGAGAAAUACAAGUUUUCCGAGGCAAUAUUUGAUAUGGAGAAAUAUACCAAGCUCACCGAUAGCAUAUUUUACGAAAUCUUGCGCAGCAAUGAUACGGAUGAGAAGACCGAGAAAGCUAAAAAAAUUCUCGAAAGGAUCCAGCAGCGAAAUUUGUAUAAGUUUUAUGGCGAGUUUCAACCUGCCAAAAAAUUGGAAAUCGACGAUUUGGAGUCUGCUGCAGAGGAAAUAGAGUCAUUAUCCGGAGGCCGUGUAAAGGCGAAGGAAUUAGUUGUCACCACUGUUAAUAUUAAUUUUGGCAAAAAAAAUGAAGACCCCGUGAAAUCUGUUGUAUUUUGCGAAAAAGACGGCGAUAUUGUUAAGAAGUCUGGGGAUGACGUGAGCAGAAUGCUUCCACAGACAUUCUCCGAGCAAUACGUUCGCCUCUACGGAAAGGAUCCCGCAACAGACAUCAACAAAAAAGAGAUUGCUGAGAAAUGUUUUAAAAAGUGGAGCGAGGAUAAACCCAACUCAGACCAUCGCCUUGUAGUUGUCGUAUCAAUAUUGCUUGGAGGAGCAGCACUAUUGAAAUACUUAAAAUAACUAAAUAAUUAACAGUUAUCGAAAGCUCAUAUUCGACGAGAGUGACUGAGUGGAAUGACUGUUUCAUUAUAUACACAAGGUCUGAAUUCACUGCUUUCGGAUAUUUUCAAUAUUUUUCUAUUUUUUUAUGUUUUUAUCUUCGCUCUUUCGGCCGAUUAUUUUUUAAAAAUAUAUAUUUUUAACCAUUUUAAAUUUUAAAAAUUCAUUUGCUAACCUGUAAACAGUUUGUGGGAGAGUUUUCAUUGUGUUUUUAAUCCUUUAAAGGCUAUAAAAAGCGAACAACCUUCCGUUUUAUUGUUUGCAAACGUCGGAAAUUCAAUUUGAGCCGCCAUUUGUUUUCUCUACUAGCAGGAUAUGAGCUAAUUUCCUGCUAGUAGAGAACCAAUCAAAUUGCAGAAUACCUUAUAUCCAGACGUUGUGUAUAUAAUAAGUUCAAUUAUCCUCCAUUUGCUUUUCUCUUUCAAACCAAUGGUUAUACAGCUAUAGUGCUAGUAGUACCAAUGCAUCUGCAUGUUUUUUAAUGAUAUUUGCCAACACAAUUUGUCGGUCCAGAAUGGUCUUUUCAUUUACACAGUUUCUUUUCAGUAUAAUUUCGACGUUGAUAUUAAGAAACUAUUAUGGGAAAUCAGAGUUAUUGUGCGUACAGCAAACACAUGCUUCGUUAUGAGUCUUUGCAUUCCUGCA
rnacentral:lncRNA from 1 species